rnacentral:lncRNA from 1 species
UAUAAAUUAAAAUUUAAUUUAAAUUCAAAUUCAUAAGUUAGAUUCGAAAUAUUUGAUUAAAUCUUAAUUUUUAAUUUAAGUUUAAAUUAAAAUUUUAAAUUAUAUAUUUAAUUUUUAAAUUUUAACUCAUAUUUUAAUUAAAAAAGUUGAAAAAAUAAAAUUAAUCCGAAUAAAUAUUCAUUCCGUCCGGAUUAAACUACCAAUUCGGCCUCCUAGGCCGGAUUGAGAAAAGAGGUGAUUGGAAAAUUUUCAUUCCACUAGAGAAUCGGAGUCGGAACGGGACUCCCGCAUAUCAAACACCCACAAACGAAUUUAUCCAUUUCGAUUUCAAUUUCAGGAUGAAAAUGAAGCGAACCAAACACGCCUUUGGAGUGAUGGAGUGAUUUUGAUUGGAUU